rnacentral:rRNA from 1 species
GACGAACGCUGGCGGCGUGCUUAACACAUGCAAGUCGAACGGAAAGGCCCUGCUUUUGUGGGGUGCUCGAGUGGCGAACGGGUGAGUAACACGUGAGUAACCUGCCCUUGACUUUGGGAUAACUUCAGGAAACUGGGGCUAAUACCGGAUAGGAGCUCCUGCUGCAUGGUGGGGGUUGGAAAGUUUCGGCGGUUGGGGAUGGACUCGCGGCUUAUCAGCUUGUUGGUGGGGUAGUGGCUUACCAAGGCUUUGACGGGUAGCCGGCCUGAGAGGGUGACCGGCCACAUUGGGACUGAGAUACGGCCCAGACUCCUACGGGAGGCAGCAGUGGGGAAUAUUGCACAAUGGGCGGAAGCCUGAUGCAGCAACGCCGCGUGCGGGAUGACGGCCUUCGGGUUGUAAACCGCUUUCGCCUGUGACGAAGCGUGAGUGACGGUAAUGGGUAAAGAAGCACCGGCUAACUACGUGCCAGCAGCCGCGGUGAUACGUAGGGUGCGAGCGUUGUCCGGAUUUAUUGGGCGUAAAGGGCUCGUAGGUGGUUGAUCGCGUCGGAAGUGUAAUCUUGGGGCUUAACCCUGAGCGUGCUUUCGAUACGGGUUGACUUAAGGAAGGUAGGGGAGAAUGGAAUUCCUGGUGGAGCGGUGGAAUGCGCAGAUAUCAGGAGGAACACCAGUGGCGAAGGCGGUUCUCUGGGCCUUUCCUGACGCUGAGGAGCGAAAGCGUGGGGAGCGAACAGGCUUAGAUACCCUGGUAGUCCACGCUGUAAACGGUGGGUACUAGGUGUGGGGUCCAUUCCACGGGUUCCGUGCCGUAGCUAACGCUUUAAGUACCCCGCCUGGGGAGUACGGCCGCAAGGCUAAAACUCAAAGGAAUUGACGGGGCCCCGCACAAGCGGCGGAGCAUGCGGAUUAAUUCGAUGCAACGCGUAGAACCUUACCUGGGUUUGACAUGGAUCGGGAGUGCUCAGAGAUGGGUGUGCCUCUUUUGGGGUCGGUUCACAGGUGGUGCAUGGCUGUCGUCAGCUCGUGUCGUGAGAUGUUGGGUUAAGUCCCGCAACGAGCGCAACCCUUGUUCACUGUUGCCAGCACGUUAUGGUGGGGACUCAGUGGAGACCGCCGGGGUCAACUCGGAGGAAGGUGGGGAUGACGUCAAGUCAUCAUGCCCCUUAUGUCCAGGGCUUCACGCAUGCUACAAUGGCUGGUACAGAGAGUGGCGAGCCUGUGAGGGUGAGCGAAUCUCGGAAAGCCGGUCUCAGUUCGGAUUGGGGUCUGCAACACGACCUCAUGAAGUCGGAGUCGCUAGUAAUCGCAGAUCAGCAACGCUGCGGUGAAUACGUUCCCGGG